rnacentral:rRNA from 1 species
AGCGAACGCUGGCGGCAGGCUUAACACAUGCAAGUCGAGCGCCCCGCAAGGGGAGCGGCGGACGGGUGAGUAACACGUGGGAACGUACCCUUUGGUUCGGAACAACCCAGGGAAACUUGGGCUAAUACCGGAUACGUCCGUAAGGAGAAAGAUUUAUCGCCAAAGGAUCGGCCCGCGUUUGAUUAGCUAGUUGGUGAGGUAAUGGCUCACCAAGGCUACGAUCAGGAGCUGGUCUGAGAGGAUGAUCAGCCACAUUGGGACUGAUACACGGCCCAAACUCCUACGGGAGGCAGCAGUGGGGAAUAUUGGACAAUGGGGGCAACCCUGAUCCAGCCAUGCCGCGUGAGUGAUGAAGGCCCUAGGGUUGUAAAGCUCUUUUAGCAGGGAAGAUAAUGACGGUACCUGCAGAAAAAGCCCCGGCUAACUUCGUGCCAGCCGCCGCCGUAA